rnacentral:rRNA from 1 species
CUACGGGUGGCUGCAGUGGGGAAUAUUGCACAAUGGAGGAAACUCUGAUGCAGCAACGCCGCGUGGAGGAUGACACUUUUCGGAGCGUAAACUCCUUUUAUAUAGGAAGAAGAUGACGGUACUAUAUGAAUAAGCGCCGGCUAACUCCGUGCCAGCAGCCGCGGUAAUACGGAUGGCGCAAGCGUUACUCGGAAUCACUGGGCGUAAAGAGCGUGUAGGCGGAUUAAAAAGUCAGAAGUGAAAUCCUAUAGCUUAACUAUAGAACUGCUUCUGAAACUCUUAAUCUAGAAUAUGGGAGAGGUGGAUGGAAUUUCUGGUGUAGGGGUAAAAUCCGUAGAGAUCAGAAGGAAUACCGAUUGCGAAGGCGAUCUACUAGAACAUUAUUGACGCUGAGACGCGAAAGCGUGGGGAGCAAACAGGAUUAGAUACCCUCGUAGUC